AACUCUGGACGGUGGAUCACUCGGCUAGCGUGUCGAUGAAGAGCGUAGCUAACUAUGUGAAUUAGUGUGAAUUGCAGGACGCCUUGAACAUCGACAUCUUGAACGCACAUUGCGGCCAAAGGGAUUCUCUUUGGCCACGCCUGUCCGAGGGUCG